CUGUCCUGGAGAUUCUCCUUCACCUUUGGCCUCGCACUAAGCUCGAAACGCCUUCAAGGCAGAGCGGUGGCUUUUUAGAUGCUGUGUUUUCAAUACAGAGCACAGGCUUUGGCCCAGACACAUUCCUCUGUAAAGGAGAGAUUGACAGUGUGCUGGGCUGCGCCGGCAACGAUCUGCUGUGUGCCGUUCAUCGAAGGAAGAAGUUACCAUUUCAGCACAGGUGUUCUGCCUAAGCUCAUGGACCAAGUCACCAUGUCCUGAAUCCUCGGAAACUACCAAGCAAAACAAAUCCUUCUUAUACAAGGUGGAAAGGCAACUUCUCAGCCUGUUCUGAAAUAAGGGCCUCUGAAAUCACAUGGGCAAGAAAGCAACAUCCUCUGCUAUGGAGAAAAAUGGCUGGCUAGUGUCACCCAAGAUUCUCCAAGCAGACAGCAGACAUGGUAAAAUGGCUUCCGAAGCACCCUGAGCUGGCUUUUGGAGACCCUAGGAGAGUCCAAGUCCCCAGCCCCCAUCCAGUUCUUCAGGUUUUCACCAUGUCAGCCAACGUCGCAAUUUGAUCCCAGAAGGAACAGUGAUGGGGCCAGGGGAAAGAAGAAAGAAAUAACAUCUAUCAAAAUAAGUGACAUCAAUCAAAUCGGCCUUGACUCAAAGUUCAGCUUCCCUGUCAGGAAGAGUACAUAUUCUUGUGAAGAGGAAAAGAAGUCAAGAAAUGAGGAAGCCCACCUCACAUGUCUCACUCCCAGGAACAAUUUAUCAGCGCUAUAGAGCUGUCAGCCCUGACAUGAUAAGGCGUAACACCGAAUGAAUAAUGCUUCCUCCAGUACCAACUCCUUUAAUUACAAGCCUCUUCUUUCCAGAAGAGAGACAGAAGAUGCGAAAACACCAAUUUCAUGCACUCGUGCCUGAAUAAUGUCUCCAUGCUGCUUUUUCCAGAUGGCGACCUCCUCACUGGAGGGACUAAUGAUGUGGGCAUAUUUAGGGAAAAACCAAUAACGGAGUCUUUAACCUUCAACAACAAAAAGCGUGUUAUACAAAAUGUUCCUUGGGAUACAUUAGAAAAUAUCAAUUACAUUGCUCACUGAGGUGUAAUCAGCUGUAAUAAUCAAAAUUAAUUUUUAAAAAUAAUUAAACAGAC